GCGAAAGAAACCCGUUUGCCCUCUAGAAUCACUUAAGGUGGCAACACCAAUAUUCCAACUUGUUCUAAGUAUGGCCGUACAGAACUGAAUUAGGUAUAAUUUUAAUUCUAUUAAGAGAAUGGCUGACGUGUCUAUCUUCUCUGAAAAUGAUGAGUUCUGUUCCUCAUCAUCAACAUUUCGUUUUGUGUAGCCUAAUAAUUAGUAAUAAAGAGAGAUUUUGGCAGGG